rfam:Stegodyphus mimosarum contig12154, whole genome shotgun sequence.
GCCUUCGUGGUGUAAUGGUCAGCACACUGAGCCGGUAUUUCAGAGACCCGUGGUUCGAUUCCCGGCGAAGGCA